AGUAGCAAUACUUUGAUGGCGACCGGCGCACGGGUGAGUAACGCGUAUGCAACCUGCCCUUUACAGGGGGAUAGCCCAUGGAAACGUGGAUUAAUACCCCAUAGUACCAAUGAAAGGCAUCUUUUAUAGGUAAAAUCUGCGGAGGUAAAGGAUGGGCAUGCGUCCUAUUAGUUAGUUGGCGGGGUAACGGCCCACCAAGGCGAUGAUAGGUAGGGGUUCUGAGAGGAAGGUCCCCCACAUUGGUACUGAGACACGGACCAAACUCCUACGGGAGGCAGCAGUGAGGAAUAUUGGUCAAUGGACGCAAGUCUGAACCAGCCAUGCCGCGUGCAGGAAGACGGCUCUAUGAGUUGUAAACUGCUUUUGUACGAGGGUAAAUGCAGGUACGUGUAUCUGUUUGAAAGUAUCGUACGAAUAAGGAUCGGCUAACUCCGUGCCAGCAGCCGCGGUAAUACGGAGGAUCCAAGCGUUAUCCGGAUUUAUUGGGUUUAAAGGGUGCGUAGGCGGUUUUAUAAGUUAGAGGUGAAAUGUCGGGGCUCAACCCCGAAACUGCCUCUAAUACUGUUGGACUAGAGAAUAGUUGCGGUAGGCGGAAUGUAUGGUGUAGCGGUGAAAUGCUUAGAGAUCAUACAGAACACCGAUUGCGAAGGCAGCUUACCAAACUAUAUCUGACGUUGAGGCACGAAAGCGUGGGUAGCAAACAGGAUUAGAUACCCUGGUAGUCCACGCAGUAAACGAUGAUAACUCGUUGUCGGCGAUACAGUGUCGGUGACUAAGCGAAAGCGAUAAG
rnacentral:rRNA from 1 species